AUCUUUCCCCUACUAGUUAAAAGAUAUUCACCAUAAAACUUGUCUGCCUGCUCCCACACAGAGAAAUAAUGCAGGACUUUAACAUGAAGAAGCUGGUCAAUUGGAGACAAACUAUUUCAGAAACAGGUGGUCUCUGUAUCUUCCUGAACAUCUGGAAGUACCUAGCACUGCAUGAGCAUGCCAUAAAUGGGACCAUUCUGUACAAUUUUCAGCCACUGAAGCAUGAUUCCAGCCCCUAGAAAAAAGCA